rnacentral:rRNA from 1 species
CCUACGGGUGGCAGCAGUGAGGACUAUUGGUCAAUGGGCGGGAGCCUGAACCAGCCAAGUCGCGUGAGGGAAGACGGUCCUAUGGAUUGUAAACCUCUUUAGGCGGGGAGCAAUGCCGGGCACGCGUGCCCGGAGGGAGAGUACCCGCCGCAUCAGCAUCGGCUAACUCCGUGCCAGCAGCCGCGGUACUACGGAGGAUGCGGGCGGUAUCCGGGUUUAUUGGGUUUAAAGGGUGCGUAGGCGGAUUUUUAAGUCAGCGGGAAAAUGUGCGGGCUCAACCCGGGCCGGCCGUUGAAACUGGGGAGCUUGAGUGGGCGAGAAGUAUGCGGAAUGCGUGGUGUAGCGGUGAAAUGCAUAGAUAGCACGAAGAACUCCGAUUGCGAAGGCAGCAUACCGGCGCCCGACUGACGCUGAGGCACGAAAGCGUGGGGAUCGAACAGGAUUAGAUACCCUUGUAGUC